UGUCUUACCGCGUUGGUUGGUUCGGGCCCAGAGUGGUUUUGGAGUGAAAUGAGACACUUAGUCUCUUAAUUGGAAGCUUAAGUUGGAAAAGUCGACCGGAUGUCGACUUGUGGGAAAACGACCUCGGAUUUGAAUUUUGAUGGUUCUGUUAGCUCCGUUAGGUGAUUUUGGACUUAGGAGCGCGUCCGGAAUGUGAUUUGGAGGUCCGUAGUAGAAUUAGGCUUGAAUUAGCGAAAGUUGGAAUUUUGGCGAUUUUGGCCGGCAGUGGAAAUUUUGAUAUCGGAGUCGGAUUGGAUUUCCGGAAGUUGAAAUAGGUUCGUGGUGCCAUUUUUGACUUGCGUGCAAAAUUUAAGGUCAAUCGGACGUGGUUUGGUAGGUUUCAGCGUCGUUUGUGUGUGUCCGGAUGUUGUUUUGAGUGAUUCGAAUGCUCGACUAAGUUCGUAUAGUGUUUUGGGACUUGAUGGUAUGUUUGGUUGAGGUCCCGGGGGGCUCGGGUGAGUUUCAGGUGGUUAACAGAUCAUUUUUGGCCUUGAUGAGAUAGCUAAUAUUCGUUGCUGCAUUUUUUUCUGGUUUCCUCUUAUGCGUUCGCGAGAGGAGCCUCGCGUUCGCGAAGAGUGUUUCUGAGUUGGUGAGAUUUUUCUCUACGCGUCCGCGAAGGAGAUGACGCGAACGCGAAGGUAUGGCAGUGUGUGCAUCGCGAAUGCGUGAGUGGCGUCGCGUUCACGAAAGGGAGUGAGGCAGCUGGGGACCCCCAGUCUUUUGUUCUACGCGUUCGCGAGGUGAGGGACGUGCUCGCGAAGGUCUGAGUUUGCAAAGCUUCGCGUUCGCGAAGAGUUAAGUUGAGAGGCAGUUUGAGUUAGUCUACGCGAACACGAGAGGACGGUCGCAUUCGCGAAGAAGGAAAUCUGGGUAGACAAUAUUAAUUUCAAAAACGAGGGUUUGAACCCAUUUUGCAUAUUUUGAACUAGAGAACACGGAAUUGGGCGAUUCUUGAAGGGAUUUUUGUGGAGUUGAUUGGGGUAAGUGAUUCCUACUUGGUUUUGGUUAAAACCCAUGAUUAUAUCUUUAAUUCUAUCAUCUAAUUUGUGAUUUGGGGUGAAAAAUUAGAGAAGAAGAUGAAGUGUUCUUGAGUUAAAUUUUUGGGAUUUUAAAUGGGAUUUUGUUAUCGGAUUGGAGUAAAUUUGGUAUGGUUAGACUCGGGAGUGAAUGGGCUUUCGGGUUUUGUGACUUUUGUCGGAUUUCGAGACGUGGGCCGGGGGGCGGGAUCGGGCCAAUUUCGGAUUUUUGGCUUAUAAUUUCGUGUUUUCUUGUGGGAUUGAUUCUUUUAGCUUAUAUUAAUUAUAUCGUACUGCUUGUGGCUGGAUUCGGGGAGUUUGGAGAUUGAUUCGAGAGGCAAGGGCAUUUCGGAAUAGGAUUUCUACGUUGUUGAGGUAAGUAACAGUCUUAAAUCUGGUUUUGAGGGUACAAAACCCCGAGAAUUGGUAUAAUGUGAAUAUUUGGAGAUGACGCGCAUGCUAGGUGACGGGCGUGCGAGCGUGCACCGUGAGGGAUUGUGACUUGGUUCGUCCCGUGAAACUGGAAAGUCGAAUAGCCAUUGUUAUUACUUGUUUUUCAUUGUUAUUACUUGUUUUUCUUUGUCUUUGAAUAAUUGACUACCUUUCAUGUUAGAAACCAUGCUUAGGCCAUAUGAUAUCACUGAUGGGACCCGCAGCGGUCGUAUACUUGUUGAAUUGACUGUCAAUUGUUGUCUUGUACUCAGUCAUAGUCUUACUUGUGUAUUAUAUCUCUGUUCCCUCUCAUUUCUUAUUGAUACUUGUUGUAUUCUCUGUUUGGGCUAAUUAUUAUGAUAUUCUGUGAGCCCGAGGGGCUGGAGAGAUUAGUGACUUAGAUAGGGCCUGAGUGACGAGCUGUGAGGUAUAUUGGAUCCGGUUGCACGCCGCAACAAGCCUUCGGACUAUAUAUAUGUGGAUCGGGUUGCACGCCGCAACAAUAUAGCGCUUGGGCUGAAGGAGCCCCUCUGGAGUCUGUACACCCCUAGUGAGCGCAGGUACCUAUUGAGAGUGUAUUGAGGGCUGAGAGCCGAGAGUAUGAGCUGUUGAGAUGAGUUGAGUGACUGUUGCUUUGAGAGGUUGUACUUGCAUUUAUUUAUUGUUGCACUUAGUUGCUAUCUGAUGUUGUGAAAUUUUCUGGAAGAUUCAUAUAUGUUUUAUUUGAGCCCGAACUGAUUUGACCUAUACCACCGGAUUUGAAAGCAUGUUCACUCUUUACUGAAAACUUUUGAAAUGAUAUGUAUUAUUAUAGUUCGUCACUGCUUCUCAGUUCCUUAUUUAAUUUUGUUACUUGCUGAGUUGGUUGUACUCAUGCUACACCCUGCACUUCAUGUGCAGAUCCAAAUGUGUACGGUUCUGGAGGACGCUGAGCUCAUGCGCGGGCUGA
rnacentral:lncRNA from 1 species